UACGUAGGGUGCAAGCGUUUGUCCGGAAUUAUUGGGCGUAAAGGGCUCGUAGGCGGUUUGUCGCGUCGGGAGUGAAACUACAGGGCUUAACCCUCGGAGCCUGCUUCCGAUACGGGCAGACUAGAGGUAUGGCAGGGGAGAACGGAAUUCCUGGUGUAGCGGUGAAAUGCGCAGAUAUCAGGAGGAACACCGGUGGCGAAGGCGGGUCUCUGGGCCGAUAUUGACGCUGAGGAGCGAAAGCGUGGGGAGCAAACAGG
rnacentral:rRNA from 1 species